rnacentral:rRNA from 1 species
CCUGGCUCACGAUGAACGCUAGCUACAGGCUUAACACAUGCAAGUCGAGGCGCUGCAUGGUCUUAGCUUGCUAAGGCCGAUGGCGACCGGCGCACGGGUGAGUAACACGUAUCCAACCUGCCGUCUACUCUUGGACAGCCUUCUGAAAGGAAGAUUAAUACAAGAUGGCAUCAUGAGUCCGCAUGUUCACAUGAUUAAAGGUAUUCCGGUAGACGAUGGGGAUGCGUUCCAUUAGAUAGUAGGCGGGGUAACGGCCCACCUAGUCUUCGAUGGAUAGGGGUUCUGAGAGGAAGGUCCCCCACAUUGGAACUGAGACACGGUCCAAACUCCUACGGGAGGCAGCAGUGAGGAAUAUUGGUCAAUGGGCGAGAGCCUGAACCAGCCAAGUAGCGUGAAGGAUGACUGCCCUAUGGGUUGUAAACUUCUUUUAUAAAGGAAUAAAGUCGGGUAUGGAUACCCGUUUGCAUGUACUUUAUGAAUAAGGAUCGGCUAACUCCGUGCCAGCAGCCGCGGUAAUACGGAGGAUCCGAGCGUUAUCCGGAUUUAUUGGGUUUAAAGGGAGCGUAGAUGGAUGUUUAAGUCAGUUGUGAAAGUUUGCGGCUCAACCGUAAAAUUGCAGUUGAUACUGGAUAUCUUGAGUGCAGUUGAGGCAGGCGGAAUUCGUGGUGUAGCGGUGAAAUGCUUAGAUAUCACGAAGAACUCCGAUUGCGAAGGCAGCCUGCUAAGCUGCAACUGACAUUGAGGCUCGAAAGUGUGGGUAUCAAACAGGAUUAGAUACCCUGGUAGUCCACACGGUAAACGAUGAAUACUCGCUGUUUGCGAUAUACUGCAAGCGGCCAAGCGAAAGCGUUAAGUAUUCCACCUGGGGAGUACGCCGGCAACGGUGAAACUCAAAGGAAUUGACGGGGGCCCGCACAAGCGGAGGAACAUGUGGUUUAAUUCGAUGAUACGCGAGGAACCUUACCCGGGCUUAAAUUGCAGAUGAAUUACGGUGAAAGCCGUAAGCCGCAAGGCAUCUGUGAAGGUGCUGCAUGGUUGUCGUCAGCUCGUGCCGUGAGGUGUCGGCUUAAGUGCCAUAACGAGCGCAACCCUUGUUGUCAGUUACUAACAGGUUCCGCUGAGGACUCUGACAAGACUGCCAUCGUAAGAUGUGAGGAAGGUGGGGAUGACGUCAAAUCAGCACGGCCCUUACGUCCGGGGCUACACACGUGUUACAAUGGGGGGUACAGAGGGCCGCUACCACGCGAGUGGAUGCCAAUCCCCAAAACCUCUCUCAGUUCGGACUGGAGUCUGCAACCCGACUCCACGAAGCUGGAUUCGCUAGUAAUCGCGCAUCAGCCACGGCGCGGUGAAUACGUUCCCGGGCCUUGUACACACCGCCC